GAGGGUCUUGUCCAAGAAGUAUGUAAAUCGGGAUCCCCUUAGCCCCCUUUUCAUGGCUGAGAUAGCCAUGCCUUCGUUGAGGUCCCGGACCUCGAACGUGGCCGCAUUGAAUCGCGUCACGAAGUGUCGGAGCGUCUUAUUUUCUCCCUGCUUGAGGAAAAAAAGGCUGUCCGAGGUUCGUGGGGACUUCCGGCUAGUGCUGAAAUGGGCCACGAAAGCAUGUUCGAGCUGGCCGAAGGAGUGAAUGCUUUCCGAGCAGAGGCCGGAGUACCAGGCCCUGACGGCCUUGCAAAGUGUAGCGGAGAAGCCGAUGCAGAGA
rnacentral:lncRNA from 1 species